rnacentral:rRNA from 1 species
CAGCAGCCCGGUAAUACGAGGGGGGCAAGCGUUGUUCGGAAUUAUUGGGCGUAAAGGGUGCGUAGGCGGUCUGAUAAGUCUGAUGUGAAAUCUAUGGGCUCAACCCAUAGUCUGCAUCGGAAACUGUCAGGCUUGAGGAUGGGAGAGGUGAGUGGAAUUUCCGGUGUAGCGGUGAAAUGCGUAGAUAUCGGAAGGAACACCCGUGGCGAAAGCGGCUCACUGGACCAUUUCUGACGCUGAUGCACGAAAGCUAGGGGAGCAAACAGGAUUAGAUACCCGCGUAGUCCCUGUCUCUUAUACA